CACGUAGGGCGCAAGCGUUGUCCGGAAUUAUUGGGCGUAAAGAGCUCGUAGGCGGUCUGUUGCGUCCGCUGUGAAAACUCGGGGCUUAACCCCGAGCCUGCAGUGGAUACGGGCAGACUAGAGGUAGGUAGGGGAGAAUGGAAUUCCCGGUGUAGCGGUGAAAUGCGCAGAUAUCAGGAGGAACACCGGUGGCGAAGGCGGGUCUCUGGGCCGAUAUUGACGCUGAGGAGCGAAAGCGUGGGGAGCAAACAGG
rnacentral:rRNA from 1 species